rnacentral:rRNA from 1 species
GAUGAACGCUGGCGGCGUGCCUAAUACAUGCAAGUCGAGCGAACAGACGAGGAGCUUGCUCCUCUGACGUUAGCGGCGGACGGGUGAGUAACACGUGGAUAACCUACCUAUAAGACUGGGAUAACUUCGGGAAACCGGAGCUAAUACCGGAUAAUAUAUUGAACCGCAUGGUUCAAUAGUGAAAGACGGUUUUGCUGUCACUUAUAGAUGGAUCCGCGCCGCAUUAGCUAGUUGGUAAGGUAACGGCUUACCAAGGCAACGAUGCGUAGCCGACCUGAGAGGGGGAUCGGCCACGCGGGAACUGAGACACGGUCCAGACUCCUACGGGAGGCAGCAGUAGGGAAUCUUCCUCAAUGGGCGAAAGAUUGACGGAGCAACGCCGCGUGAGUGAUGAAGGUCUUCGGAUCGUAAAACUCUGUUAUUAGGGAAGAACAAAUGUGUAAGUAACUAUGCACGUCUUGACGGUACCUAAUCAGAAAGCCACGGCUAACUACGUG